ACGCAGCCCCACCGUUUCCCCCCUUGCGUAUAUACCUAAAUCACAAAUCCACCGUAUCAUCCCUAUCCUCACCGUGCGCCGCCCGCCUCUACCCAUCCAUCCGCCGCCACAGCCAUGUCGGCGUCACCGGCCAUCGCCUCUCUACCACCUCCCUCUCCCCCCUACAGAAACUCCUUGCCUCACCCCACCGAAGGAACCUCCUCUCCUCACCCGUGUGCCGCCUGCCUCUACUCAGCUCGCCACCGCCGGCACCCCGUCACCGGCACCGCCCACCGCCGCCGGCACGCCGUCACCGACACCGCCCACCGCUGCCUCACCACCCCAUCGACGCCGACCCCUUCACGUUGUUUGAUUCACGGGUUAGGUGAUGGGGAUCGAUUGGAGCUGCCGCGUGAGGAAUGAAAUUAGAUCUACUGCAUGCUUCAUCAACGACUGCCAAGUGAUGAGAUCUACGGACCCAUUCUCUUCUCAUGACCACAACACGUCUGCAUGAGAAGACAGGUUUGAGUUCAGGUCGUUGACCAGGACAAACAGCAGGCCGGACAAUAAUAACUUUCCCCCUCAGGAAGAGCUUCUUGGACUUGACCCCAGAGAUAGCAACAUUUCUGUUGUUUGUGGGCAUGUUGGGGUUGUAAUUUUACUACUCCUUUCACAUGUUAUUAGCACUUUCAGUUACCGCACAUUUUCUACCAUAUAUGUAGCUGAAAAUUUGUUUCCAUCAUAUGUCACAUCUUAUAUGCCUAGUGGAGGGAACAAAAGUAAAUCCAAAAGCUCCUUUCACAAUAGCUCAGCUAUGAAUAGUGGUUUAAAUUCUUGUAGUAUCUUCACAUCUAUUGCACGAAAGAAAUUUCACUUUACAUUUAUGAUUUUGAUGUAUGGUAUAUAAAUGGCAUCCCUUUUUAAUUUUUGUAUGUUGCAUGAGGCUUGCCUGUUGCCACUUUACUUUGAAAUACAACAGUAAGCUAUUAUAUGCGUAUUUUUCAGCUCAACUCUUAAAUUUCACUUAUUUUAGACAAACAUAGUAAAACCUACUAAACAGAUUCAUAUCAUGCAUAAUAAUAUUUUCUCUAGUUCUUUGUCUAAACCAUUUUACAUUUGAUUGUGCUUAUAUAUUGUCAACUAUUAAAUCAGGGUCUCAGGUAGAUUAUAAGGUUAAGGUUUGAUCUCACCUGAUGAAGUCUGACCAGAGUUCUAGAUUCUUUGCUCUGUUUAAUCAACCAAGUGAUAGACUUGCUAUUCACUAAGAUGUUGAAUAAAAUAGGCUUGGCUUUAUGAAUUUUGAAUGGGAAAAUGAUGUACUGGAUAUAGCUAUAGUAUGUCUGUGAUACUGAGACCACUUACGCUUGGGCGCACAGCGAGUUUCUGCAAGUUCUUGUACCUUUUACCUUCUACAAAUAUGUGCCGCUUUGUUAUUUUGCACUUUUUACUUUGCGGGAAUUAACAUAAUGUGCAAAACUCUUACCAGGUGACCCUUGAUGGUAUGUUCAUUUGCCUCUUGUUGCUGUACUGUUCAAAUGCGCCGAGGCCCAAGGGCGAAGAAGACCAAAGGCUAUGGAUGGGUUUUAUUGUGUCUUUUGGCAACAGUAGAGAGUAGAGUAGUAUGAUCUAGAUAUGGUAGAGUAUUAUCUUUAGGAACUUGUGUGGACAUAUUUGUCGAUGGAACUUGCAAUCACAUAUGUGAAAUUUAACCAGAUAUGCUACAUAGGUGAACCUAGAUUUGUACACGGCUGAGUUUGCUAUGAAUUAUGUGAUGCUAAGCACACAUGUGGAACA